rnacentral:tRNA from 1 species
GCGGGCGUGGCGAAAUUGGUAGACGCGCCAGAUUUAGGUUCUGGUAUUUAACGAUGUGGGGGUUCAAGUCCCUCCGCCCGCACCA